UUCACAAAGAUUCCAAGGUGGCAGACUGAUCCUGUGGUCAACUGUGUGACUGACUAUUACUCUAUACUGGUUUAUAAGGAGAUGGAUCUCCAGGCUAAGGGAACAGUAGAAAUAAAGACCAAGAGGCCCAAGAGUUCAGUUGGGCUGGAAGGCUCACUUGUAGGUAGGCAAAAGUUGCUAAAGUGACAGAGCACACUUGUCUGGCAACUCAAUUCCACAGUCAGAAACUGAACUAUCUCAUGGGUGAUGGGAAUUGUGAGGAUAUUAGAAGAAGGGUGUGAUAAAACAGCUAAGGUUCCAUAGGCAUUUAAUAAGAAUGGGAAAAGUAGGACUGAACAGGGUAGGGAGGCCACAGGUAGAAACACAGUGAGGUGUGGCGUGAGCAUGGACAAUAUCCUGGGGGUGCCUGUUCUGCCAGCUUGGGCGAGACAAUGGUCCAGAAAGCUUGAAGUGGCUUAUUACUGUUAGAUACAAGUAGUCCUGGGGGAUGUAAGAAGGGUAGUGGUAACAUUUGAUGGGCAACAACAAACUUCAAUCUCUGACUUUUUUCUUUUAGGGUGCUAGAAGCAACACAGAAUAUAACUCCCUAGUGGUCUGUGUUCCUGCACUGGGAGUGCUCUAGAUCCACCAGCUCAUGGAUCCAUGAUUCUUUAGGCCUUGCUUCUCCAGGGAUGCUGGGAAAGGCUGUCUCCAGCAUACUGAUUCCCACUCAGUCUCCUGGCUCUGGAAAGUCUUCACCCCACCCUCACAAGUACCUGCAUAGCUGGCUCUUCCCUGGCAUUCUGCCUGAUGCCAUAUGUACCAUCUCCAUCUCGAUUGCUGCUAAUAAACUCCUGAUAAGGAUGGGGAGUUAUGCUCCCUUCUCCUCCAAGACCCAUGCUAGGAAUUUCAAAGAUGGGAAACAAAUGCCUAAGAACUCCAAGGCCACAUCAUAGGCCAAGAUACAGCUCCAAAGCCCACCUGUCCUAGAUUUGCUCAGCACACACCUGGCCUCUAAUCUUUGCUCUGGUGAAAUACCCAGUCCUCCAGCCCCGGACCCAGCUUGGUUGUGAGCUAUUCUUGAACCCCUCCAGGACAUGAGGAGGUCAGAUUCCCAGAGGAAGCCAUAGCAUCCUGCCUUUCCCCUUCCCUGGAACAUGAAACAGAUCUAGGGCAGGAUUCCAUACUUUGUGGAUGAGGAAGACAGAAGUCAUGGGGACGGAAGGGCUCCAAUCUUGGCUAAUCCAGACCUCCUGGUGAUCUCUGCACAGGAGCAAGCCAAUCCCCAACUCAUCCCAAGAGCCCUACCUACUGGAGCCUGUGCUCACACAGAAAAUCCUGGCCAAAAAUUCCUACCAGAAGUGAUGAGACCCAAUGUUCCUGCCUAAAACCCACUGCGAGCGCCACCCGGGACAAGAAAAAUGAAACCAAUUUAGCUCCCGAUUAAGAAACAGAAACUGGAGAUGAAUCAAGUGCGCCGGCUAGGCUGGGCGGCCAUACAUCACAUUCCCGGGCGGAGGCCGGCGCAGCGGGCAGGCAAGCAGGCGGACUGUACCUCCCUCCACCAAGGCUCCCAGGGCUGUGGCCCAGCGAUCAAUUCACAGAGUCACGCUUAGCACCAGCUGGGCUCCAAUGCCAGCCGUGCGCCCAGGGCAGCAGGACUCAGCUACACUUGGGAAGGCCAGAAGCCCUGGCAGCAGCCUUCCUUCCAGCAACCCCCGCCACCCUGCUCCUGCACAGCCGCACUCACUUUUCGAUGUCACUGUUCUUGCACGUCUUCUGCAUGGCCUCCUGCUUGCUGCUUUCACCAUUGCUGGUGGAUGGCAUCUCUGCAGGGACACAGGGACAACUCAUACUUUGGACAGAAUGGAUAGCACAGAAGCCCUGUGCACAUGGACAUGGAGCCUGCUUGCUGUGUUCCAGCCAUACAUUGAGACCUUUGUUUAUGCUAUUUACUCCAUCUGGAAUGUUCUCCUUCUACCAAGCCCUGAAAAGCACUUUCUUCCUGAUCCUCCUCCAGUCUGUUCUCAAAGAUUCUAUUCAUCCCAGAGGUAAGCAGCACCAGAGAAAGAAAGAAAGAGGCUGGGCAUUCCCUAGGCUCCACCCUCACUGACAGUCCUCAUUUGCCCUCGACCUGGAGGCCCUGACACACUUGAACAGCAGGCAGGUCAGCAGCAGGGCCAUUAAGCUGAGAAAACACCAAGUUACAGCUCUGUCUCCUGUUCAGGGCCAGGUGUCCUGACAAGCAAUUCCCUCCUUGUGGGUGAGUGGCACCUCUAUAAACCCUCUGACAGUUUGGGAGACAAACUCCGCCAUCAAUCAGAAUGUAGCUAUCAGGUUCACUUAUAGCCUGUGCCCCCCGAGUCCUGCCAACCCCCCUCUUCCAAGUACACGCAGCUCAGCAGCCAGCCUCACAUCCUCUGCUCAGUCUCUCCCUGCCUUGUGGGUGGGCAAAAAAGCAGAGAACCCUGGCACUACUCCCAAGCCCACUAUGGCUCCCUUGGCAAAUCAGGAAAGACAGGGUGCCAUACCUGUCAGAAGUCCCAGCAUAUAAAGCAGUCCUGUGGCUUGAAGUCCUUUCCUCUGUAGUAUAACUGCCUGCCCUGCUUAGACUAGGACCCAUCCUCCAUGGGAACAGAGAUACUGUGGUCUCCCAAAUCCUAUAUGCUUUAUGCUUCAUGUCUGGGUACUUCCUAUCCCAUGUAACUAUAACUUUCUUCCUACGGGUCUACAAAACAAAUACCUACUCGGCUGGCAAGUCUGACUUAGCUCAACCUUCUAUCAUUGACUGGUAGUGCCUACAAAGAGUAGGUGCAGAAGGAAGGACUUUCCACCUCUAAUAUUCUUUCAAUCUUUAUGGAGCACAUACUGUCUGGCUCAGUGUGGAGAAUACACAAGAUAUGGCUCCCCAACCUCCAGGUACUCAGUGGGGGAUGUGACUUGCUCAAGUACUUAUACACCUUACACGAAUGUGUCCCUUCCUUGCUGUCCACCCAAACUACUGCGUUACUCACCUUUAUUACCAUGUAUUGUCAUUCUCCCUCCUCAGACCAAAAAGUGCAAGGGUCUCAAGUGUGACUCACUGCUGUGAUCUCUGCGUUGUCCAGCAGGGCUGGCUAGGCCCAGAGCAGGUGCCAUAUAACAUACCAGAGCAGUACUGGCAACACUGCUCUAUGAGGCACUGGGGCCCUGUGCCAGAAGUAAGGCUGGGCCUAGAAAAACCUUAUGACACAGCCUUCCCUAUUCUACUGCAGCUCCCAGCCAGGUGGCAACCUUCUGUUCCUCUGACCAGUGAGACAGGAGGGAAAGUGUGACAUCUUAUUUGCCAAGGAAAAGGCCUCUCUGCCUUUGGUCUGAGUAGUCUUCUCUGACCCUUACCCCAUGCCCCAGCUGAGACAGAUGUUGAGAACCUCUCCCUACCCCCACAGGUGUUCAGAACAGGCUGCCACUGCCAAUUUCACUCUGGUGUUGCCCUAGCCUGCUCCAACCUCCUUCCCAGCACAUUAAACUUUAUUUUCUUAAUGAAAUGUCACUUGCUGACUUCUGGCAGAAUCAUAAUAAAAAGAAACGGCCAUAAAGCCGUUUUAUGCAGACAGCACCCCCGCCAGUUUACCCCCUCCUGCUUAGAGAGGAAGGCUCCACGGUCGUUUUAUGUUCUCAGCUGCUGGAAUAUCCCAAGCCAGUACUCAGAGGCAAGAUGGCACAGAUAGCUCCUUUCCAAGUCUCUGGCUCCUCUUCCCUGAAGCUCAGGGAAUACUAGGCAAGC